CCCGGAAAACUAUUUCCUGCCUUUCUGCAAGCCUAUACGCAUGGGAUAUUCUAAAACGGGUGGACAUCGAUUUUUCAGUUGCUACCGGGAAUAAUUGAUUUGGAUCAGCCAAAAUUAGAUGAGAAAUUUGAGGAGCAAACAGCGUCUUCUUUACGAAGCCCGUCCCCAUCACGCUAUUUUCGACCAGACAGCCCCAUAACAAGAAUCCAUGGCCUCUGAACGACUUCGGAGGAGCAGAUGAAACAGACGCUAUUCUGCCGUUCUGUACGAACGGCUUUACCAAAACUCCAAACAAACAGCCGUUCUACUCCAAAGAUAUAAACCCUGCAGAAUCUACAAAGCCCGCGGGAUCCACGAUUCUUCAGAACAGCCGGCAUAAAAAAACAGAGACCCCUCCCAGGCGUAUACAGACACAGAAGGCACAACACGUCGAUCGGAAGAGUUCGAGGAGGAAGGGGGCGCCCAGGACAUACACAGUAAAACAUUGAAGUCUGAUCAUUUCAACGCUUUAAAUGACAAUUCUGAGGUAGAUGAUUUGCUGUUGUAUGAGGCUGCAAGACAACUUGAUACAGCCAAUUCUGAGAUUGAGACUAUCUUGAUUGAAUAUUGUUUCUAUCAGGACCCAGAACCUGAAAUAGAUCAUGAUAGGUUUCUCACAGCCUUUUACAGGGCUCUUAAAGCCAGAAAGGCUCAGCUACACAAACAUAUGUUUGUUUUACUAAGACAUCAAUACAGUCAAGAUCUAUCCUUCUGACAUAGAACAAUGCCCCACUUGUUAAACAACAAUCUGAUUAAAAAACGCAAAAACAAGCACCAAAAACUGUACCUAACAUGGAUGAGACGGGGCGACAACGCCCAUAAUUCAACACACGGUGAUAACAGAUCCCAGCCGAACUCAUAGCCUUAAUUAACCAAAUGAAUUAGACAAGGGCAACAUCUUGAACACACACACACCUCCUUUAACUCCAUGUCCGAAGAGUCUGAGCAACAAUACAAUGUUUUUGAGGAAUUGGAAAAUUGUGUAAUAAAAUCAGAACGGCGAUGGUAUUGAUAGAAGUGUUCGUGUUGUGUACCGAAAU
ensembl:lncRNA